rnacentral:rRNA from 1 species
UACGUAGGGUGCAAGCGUUGUUCGGAAUCAUUGGGCGUAAAGCGCGUGUAGGUGGCUAGGUAAGUCGAUUGUGAAAUCCCUUGGCUCAACCAAGGAAGUGCAGUCGAAACUACUUAGCUCGAGAAUGGUAGAGGAAGGUGGAAUUCCGUGUGUAGAGGUGAAAUUCGUAGAUAUACGGAGGAGUACCGGUGGCGAAGGCGGCCUUCUGGACCAUUUCUGACACUGAGACGCGAAAGCGUGGGGAUCAAACAGG